rnacentral:lncRNA from 1 species
CCGCUAUCACAAUAACUAAAGCUGGCCCAUGGCCCAACCAAAUCUCAUACACAUUUUAGUGGGUACAAACCAAAGGUCCAUUAGGAAAGCAAACAUUCAGGUGAACUCUCAGCAUGCCUUAACCAAGCUGUUUUCGGCAUUGGGCUCCCCCAAGGAAGCCCGAAUGACAAAAGGUAGGAGCUAAUUCAUCCACUGGCAUUUACACUAUUGCGCGCAAAAUAUGAAUAAGCUAUACUGUAUUUUAAACACUUGAAGAAGAUAAUUCAAAAUAACAAUUGUAGACCUACUGAUAAUUACAAUGAUUUAAUUAACAACAAAACUAUUAUUUUUCUUUUUUUACACUAUGGCACCCUUUCAAGUAGUAGAAGACAAGGUUAAAUGAUAUAACAAAUUUGAUACAAUGAGUGAACCAUAAACUUUCUAAAUAAGCCCUUAAACACAUAUACUGUUGUUUACCAUAUACAUAAUCAUGGCUCAAAGUCACUAAACCCACCCUUUAUUACAGAGUUCCCGAGCUUUAGACAAUCAGAAUAUAAAAGACCCAAAAUCAAAUAAAUGUCAAAGAGAUGUAACUUGCUCAAUGCCUUGAAUUGCAAAUCAAACCAACAGGUGACUGGAUCCACAAGUAGUGACCUUCAAAAAACAUCUACUGAAUCUCAACUUAUCAAGCAAACAUGAAACAGAUUAAAAUUUUAUAUAAUGUUCAGAUGCAAACAACUAAUGUUUAUUAGAAAAAUACACAUGCUGAGAUCCAAAUUCACAUUGGAAAUCAGUUUCAGAAGAAAAAAGAAACAGAAGAAGAGAAACAAGAUCAGUUAUAUGUUAAACAAAACAAGAUGAAAGUAGAUAGAGUCAGCAUGGUUUGCUUAGGAUGAACAAUCACACUUAACAGAAGGUAGACAUCAAGGUAGUUCACAUAAAUGUCAUUCUAGAACAUCAGAUAGAAUUUUCAAAGAAAAAGAAGUGAUUUUAGUUUAGCUUUUAGCUUAAGCAUAUAGUUUUAACAGCAAAUGUCGAUAGAUCUGAUAAUUAAAUGUAAUAAACAUACAUAUUUAUAUAUGGUCAUGAAAUCAACAAUCUAACUUGUCAUUUCUUUAUUCAAAAGAUAGUAACAGAUGGAGUUUCUACAAACCUAGCAGCAGAAAUCAAUAGAACUUAAGGAGUAGAAAAUGGAUUCUUCAAUCUUGAUGAUAGCUAACCCAGAGUUCACAACAGCUAAUGGAAGGUGCGCAAACACAAACAACUACAACAGUAAAUCCCAGAGAAAGAAAGCAUCACAUUCAAUCCAUUUUUUGACUUAUGAAAACCAAAAAAUCCCAAAGAAGUGCUUUAAGUUUUUUGCUAAAAUCAAAGGGAAAAAAAUCAAUUCCUAAGGAAAUAGUAGCUAAACUUUUUGAAUGUAUUUUAGGGUUCUGAAAAUCUGAUGAGUGUGUAU